AUCAAUAAGAAAUUCAGCGAGAAGCAUUCGCAACUUAUCAAUUUCCUCUUCAGUUUAUCUUCUUCUCUCAGUUCCUUUGUAGCAAUUCUUGCCUUUCAACAUGGUAUUAGAGCCUUCUCAUACCACUAGUCUCUCCGAUCCCCCCUCAAUGGCAACGAGUCUGUCAUCUCCCUCUUCCCCUCACUUCUCAGCUGCUCCAUCCUUCUCGCACAUUGUCACCACCAAACUCUCCACCGAAAACUACCUACUGUGGAAUGCCCAAAUCUCAAUUUAUCUUCGUGGACAGGACCUCUUCGCUUUCGUUGACGGCUCGUCCUCCCCUCCCUCAAAAUUUCUUCCCAAUUCUUCCCAAUUGAACCCUAAACCCAAUCCCGACUAUCAUUCCUGGAGGCGCACUGAUCAAUUGGUUCUCGGCAUCCUUUUCUCCUCUCUCAGACUCCAUUCUUGGCCACGUACUGUCUUUCCAAUUUGCUCAUCAGCUUUGGACCUAACUUUCAUCCAUGUUUUCCUCUCAUGCUCACGCCAAAGAGUUUUAGAUUUGUUUCCAGCUUACGAAUCUUUCCCGUGAUCAGUCAAUCUUAGAUUACUUUAGCAAGGUUUGUCUCCUUGUUGACUCUAUUGCUGCAAUUGGUAGUCCCCUCUUGGACAAGGAUCUGGUCACUUACCUGCUCAAUGGCCUUGGUCCCGUCUAUGAGCACUUCGUCACCAGUGUCACCACCAGAUUGACCCCUGUCUCUCUCCACGAACUUUAUCAACUACUCCUUAUACAUGAAUCUCGUCUUGCUCUCAACACCAGAACGACCCAUGUUCCUUAUUUUGCACCAUUAGUUCACUUUACUUCCUCUGCAAAAUACCAGCGUGGUUGUGUAGCCUUUCGAUGUGGACACCAAGGUCGCAGCAGGGGGUGCUACUCUAGCUAGGGUUGCGGUGGCCAACCUCCUUCCCCUUCGCAUGCUUCUCAACAUUACAAUGCCCGCAAUCUUGUGUGUCAAGUUUGCAACAAGGCUGGCCAUAUUGCCCUUCAAUGCCGGCAGUGCUUCAACCACUCAUACCAGUAUGAAGCUCCCAACAAUUUCUCUGUACACUACACAACUCAGACUCCCAGUUCUGAAUAGGUGGUGAGACAAUACGGGUAGGUGAUGGAAAUGGCCUUCCAAUCGAAAACUCUGGUGAUACCUCCCUCUCCUGAAGCUCUUCUUCAUUUCUUCUCAAGAAUAUUCUGACAAGACAAUCGGGAACAUCCUCCUCACUGGUCCAACCUGUGAUGGUCUCUACCAUUUUCCAUCCACUACAACCAUUCCAUCAUCUCCAUCAGCCCAUAUUGGCGAACGAACCUCCAUGGAUCAAUGGUAUCGAAGGUUUGGUCAUCCUUCUUUAAACUUGGUCUCUCAAGUCCAGUAGUCCAAAAACCUUCCAUUAUCUCCCACUGAUUAUGUGUUUUAAUGUUCCGAAUGUCCCCUAGAAAAAUGUCAUCAGUUUCCUUUUUCCUCAAAACAGGCCCUUUAUACCAGGCCAUUACAAUUGUUAUGUGCUGACCUAUGAGGUCCAACCCACUUUGUCACAAAAUGGCUAUAGAUAUUAUCUUUCAUUUAUGGACUCUUUUACAUGCUUCACUUGGAUUUUUUUCAUCAAGUAAAAGUUCAAUGUC